UCUCUCCUUGUAUUCACUAACUUUUUGUGAUUUCCUUAAUGAGAAGGGAUUUUAUUUGAUGCAGAAACACUUUGAUUGGGCUAAGUUGUCGGCUGUCCUUGGAGUAAAACAUCGUCGGCCUGAAGGAGAGCUGAAGAAGAAGAAGUUGGAUAAGAAGCCAAAAUCCUUCGAGCGAGUGGAGGUAGAGGAGUCUUCUAAAUCAUUUCAAGAGACUAUAAAGAAGGAUCAAACCAAAACUGGGAGGGAGCUGGUGGCUAAGUGGUCGAUCCACCAAUAAUGACUCCUAUUGAAGUCCAGGGUUCAACCGGAGAUUGUGAGUGUUUCCCCACAGACUGAUGCACCAAGAGUCAAUGGGAGUGAUCUUCUGAUCAACUAGAAGGGAUCGGUCAAGAACUUCUCAUCAUUGGAUGUGGGUAGAGCUUCCUGAUCCGAGAAAAGGAGCUUACAUCAGAUACAGGAAGAGCUGCUACAAUAGUAUUAAUACCAUUAUCUGGUGCAAUAUUUAGUGCAGUGACCUCAAGUGCUACACUAAGGGUCUCAUGUGAAUUCUUGGUUGGCUCUAUAACCUGCACGACAAACGUUUCAAGUACAAGAGAUGGAGUUUUGGAGAAGGAGAAGCGAAAAUGGAGCAAAAUUGGUUCAAAUGGAGCAAAGGAGCACACAGUGAACUGAUGCUUAGGCGCCAGCUUCUGGCGCCUAAGAGCCAGACCUUGUACGCGGAAACAAAAAGCUCGAUGUCAUGGCGCGAGACCGUUAUUUCAUGCUUCUAGAAGGCCAGCCCCUAGGUUCCACGGAUGGGCGCCAAAGUGCCAAAAUUUGUUUUUUUUUAAAUACAAUGUAAUUGGAUGAAUUUUGAAGGGGCGUCUGAAGUGACUCUUGGGAAUUUUGAGGUUUAUAUUAAAAAGAAAGAUUUUCAAGUGUUGGACUCUCUUCAUUUGUGUGUGUUGGUGUCUCUUGCUGUGUGUGUGUUUGGUGUAAUCCUAAAGGAAGAAUAGAGAGUGAGGCUUGGUGUCUCUUCGUGUGGGAAGUGUCUUUUAGAGUCUUGGUGACUCUUGAGACUUUGAAAAGAAGUGUAUGGGAUUGAUAUUUGGUGUGCA